AGUGAACGCUGGCGGUAGGCCUAACACAUGCAAGUCGAACGGCAGCACAGUAAGAGCUUGCUCUUACGGGUGGCGAGUGGCGGACGGGUGAGGAAUACAUCGGAAUCUACUUUUUCGUGGGGGAUAACGUAGGGAAACUUACGCUAAUACCGCAUACGACCUACGGGUGAAAGCAGGGGAUCUUCGGACCUUGCGCGAUUGAAUGAGCCGAUGUCGGAUUAGCUAGUUGGCGAGGUAAAGGCCCACCAAGGCGACGAUCCGUAGCUGGUCUGAGAGGAUGAUCAGACACACUGGAACAGAGACACGGUCCAGACUCCUACGAGCGGCAGCAGUGGGGAAUAUUGGACCAUGGGCACAAGCCUGAUCCAGCCAUGCCGCGUGGGUGAAAAAGGCCUUCGGGUUGUAAACCCCUUUUGUUGGGAAAGAAAAGCAGCAGGUUAAUUCCCCGCUGUUCUGACGGUACCCAAAGAAAAAGCACCGGCUAACUUCGUG
rnacentral:rRNA from 1 species